rnacentral:rRNA from 1 species
GGUUAAGCGACUAAGCGUACACGGUGGAUGCCCUGGCAGUCAGAGGCGAUGAAGGACGUGCUAAUCUGCGAUAAGCGUCGGUAAGGUGAUAUGAACCGUUAUAACCGGCGAUUUCCGAAUGGGGAAACCCAGUGUGUUUCGACACACUAUCAUUAACUGAAUCCAUAGGUUAAUGAGGCGAACCGGGGGAACUGAAACAUCUAAGUACCCCGAGGAAAAGAAAUCAACCGAGAUUCCCCCAGUAGCGGCGAGCGAACGGGGAGCAGCCCAGAGCCUGAAUCAGUGUGUGUGUUAGUGGAAGCGUCUGGAAAGGCGCGCGAUACAGGGUGACAGCCCCGUACACAAAAAUGCACAUACUGUGAGCUCGAUGAGUAGGGCGGGACACGUGGUAUCCUGUCUGAAUAUGGGGGGACCAUCCUCCAAGGCUAAAUACUCCUGACUGACCGAUAGUGAACCAGUACCGUGAGGGAAAGGCGAAAAGAACCCCGGCGAGGGGAGUGAAAAAGAACCUGAAACCGUGUACGUACAAGCAGUGGGAGCACGCUUCGGCGUGUGACUGCGUACCUUUUGUAUAAUGGGUCAGCGACUUAUAUUCUGUAGCAAGGUUAACCGAAUAGGGGAGCCGAAGGGAAACCGAGUCUUAACUGGGCGUUAAGUUGCAGGGUAUAGACCCGAAACCCGGUGAUCUAGCCAUGGGCAGGUUGAAGGUUGGGUAACACUAACUGGAGGACCGAACCGACUAAUGUUGAAAAAUUAGCGGAUGACUUGUGGCUGGGGGUGAAAGGCCAAUCAAACCGGGAGAUAGCUGGUUCUCCCCGAAAGCUAUUUAGGUAGCGCCUCGUGAAUUCAUCUCCGGGGGUAGAGCACUGUUUCGGCAAGGGGGUCAUCCCGACUUACCAACCCGAUGCAAACUGCGAAUACCGGAGAAUGUUAUCACGGGAGACACACGGCGGGUGCUAACGUCCGUCGUGAAGAGGGAAACAACCCAGACCGCCAGCUAAGGUCCCAAAGUCAUGGUUAAGUGGGAAACGAUGUGGGAAGGCCCAGACAGCCAGGAUGUUGGCUUAGAAGCAGCCAUCAUUUAAAGAAAGCGUAAUAGCUCACUGGUCGAGUCGGCCUGCGCGGAAGAUGUAACGGGGCUAAACCAUGCACCGAAGCUGCGGCAGCGACACUAUGUGUUGUUGGGUAGGGGAGCGUUCUGUAAGCCUGUGAAGGUGUGCUGUGAGGCAUGCUGGAGGUAUCAGAAGUGCGAAUGCUGACAUAAGUAACGAUAAAGCGGGUGAAAAGCCCGCUCGCCGGAAGACCAAGGGUUCCUGUCCAACGUUAAUCGGGGCAGGGUGAGUCGACCCCUAAGGCGAGGCCGAAAGGCGUAGUCGAUGGGAAACAGGUUAAUAUUCCUGUACUUGGUGUUACUGCGAAGGGGGACGGAGAAGGCUAUGUUGGCCGGGCGACGGUUGUCCCGGUUUAAGCGUGUAGGCUGGUUUUCCAGGCAAAUCCGGAAAAUCAAGGCUGAGGCGUGAUGACGAGGCACUACGGUGCUGAAGCAACAAAUGCCCUGCUUCCAGGAAAAGCCUCUAAGCAUCAGGUAACAUUAAAUCGUACCCCAAACCGACACAGGUGGUCAGGUAGAGAAUACCAAGGCGCUUGAGAGAACUCGGGUGAAGGAACUAGGCAAAAUGGUGCCGUAACUUCGGGAGAAGGCACGCUGAUAUGUAGGUGAAGUCCCUCGCGGAUGGAGCUGAAAUCAGUCGAAGAUACCAGCUGGCUGCAACUGUUUAUUAAAAACACAGCACUGUGCAAACACGAAAGUGGACGUAUACGGUGUGACGCCUGCCCGGUGCCGGAAGGUUAAUUGAUGGGGUUAGCGGUAACGCGAAGCUCUUGAUCGAAGCCCCGGUAAACGGCGGCCGUAACUAUAACGGUCCUAAGGUAGCGAAAUUCCUUGUCGGGUAAGUUCCGACCUGCACGAAUGGCGUAAUGAUGGCCAGGCUGUCUCCACCCGAGACUCAGUGAAAUUGAACUCGCUGUGAAGAUGCAGUGUACCCGCGGCAAGACGGAAAGACCCCGUGAACCUUUACUAUAGCUUGACACUGAACAUUGAGCCUUGAUGUGUAGGAUAGGUGGGAGGCUUUGAAGUGUGGACGCCAGUCUGCAUGGAGCCGACCUUGAAAUACCACCCUUUAAUGUUUGAUGUUCUAACGUUGACCCGUAAUCCGGGUUGCGGACAGUGUCUGGUGGGUAGUUUGACUGGGGCGGUCUCCUCCUAAAGAGUAACGGAGGAGCACGAAGGUUGGCUAAUCCUGGUCGGACAUCAGGAGGUUAGUGCAAUGGCAUAAGCCAGCUUGACUGCGAGCGUGACGGCGCGAGCAGGUGCGAAAGCAGGUCAUAGUGAUCCGGUGGUUCUGAAUGGAAGGGCCAUCGCUCAACGGAUAAAAGGUACUCCGGGGAUAACAGGCUGAUACCGCCCAAGAGUUCAUAUCGACGGCGGUGUUUGGCACCUCGAUGUCGGCUCAUCACAUCCUGGGGCUGAAGUAGGUCCCAAGGGUAUGGCUGUUCGCCAUUUAAAGUGGUACGCGAGCUGGGUUUAGAACGUCGUGAGACAGUUCGGUCCCUAUCUGCCGUGGGCGCUGGAGAACUGAGGGGGGCUGCUCCUAGUACGAGAGGACCGGAGUGGACGCAUCACUGGUGUUCGGGUUGUCAUGCCAAUGGCACUGCCCGGUAGCUAAAUGCGGAAGAGAUAAGUGCUGAAAGCAUCUAAGCACGAAACUUGCCCCGAGAUGAGUUCUCCCUGACUCCUUGAGAGUCCUGAAGGAACGUUGAAGACGACGACGUUGAUAGGCCGGGUGUGUAAGCGCAGCGAUGCGUUGAGCUAACCGGUACUAAUGAACCGUGAGGCUUAACCUU